rnacentral:rRNA from 1 species
CAAGUCGAACGAGCCCUUUGGAAUUGAAGUUUCGGCUGAUUUUCUAGAGUAAGCUAGUGGCAGACGGGUGAGUAACACUUAGGUAACCUGCCCUUAAGUCUGGGAUAACUCCGAGAAAUCGGAGCUAAUACCGGAUAUUCUCUUUUUAUCGAUGGAUAGUUAGAGGAAAGUUUUUUCGCUUAAGGAGGGGCCUAAGUCUGAUUAGCUUGUUGGUGGGGUAAUGGCCUACCAAGGCAACGAUCAGUAGCUGGUCUGAGAGGAUGAUCAGCCACACUGGGACUGAGACACGGCCCAGACUCCUACGGGAGGCAGCAGUGGGGAAUAUUGCGCAAUGGGCGAAAGCCUGACGCAGCGACGCCGCGUGAGUGAUGAAGCCCUUCGGGGUGUAAAGCUCUGUCAAGAGGAAUGAUAAUGACAGUACCUCUAGAGGAAGUCACGGCUAAUUACGUGCCAGCAGCCGCGGUAAUACGUAAGUGGCAAGCGUUAUCCGGAUUUACUGGGCAUAAAGAGCACGUAGGUGGUAACUUAAGUCAGAUGUUAAAGCCCACAGCUCAACUGUGGUUCGCAUUUGAAACUGAGUUACUAGAGAUCAGAAGAGGGAAGCGGAACUCAUGGUGUAGCGGUGAAAUGCGUAGAUAUCAUGAGGAACACCAGUGGCGAAGGCGGCUUCCUGGUCUGAAUCUGACAUUGAGGUGCGAAAGCGUGGGGGGCGAACGGGAUUAGAUACCCCGGUAGUCCACGCCGUAAACUGUGUUCACUAGGUGUAGGAGGUAUCGACCCCUUCUGUGCCACAGAUAAUUCGUUAAGUGAACCGCCUGGGGAGUACGACCGCAAGGUUAAAACUCAAAGGAAUUGACGGGGGCCCGCACAAGCAGUGGAGCAUGUGGUUUAAUUCGAUGAUACGCGAAGAACCUUACCAGGGUUUGACAUCUAGGGAAUCUUCUAGAGAUAGAGGAGUGCCGCAAGGAGCCCUAAGACAGGUGGUGCAUGGCUGUCGUCAGCUCGUGUCGUGAGAUGUUGGGUUAAGUCCCGCAACGAGCGCAACCCUCGUCCUGUGUUGCCAGCAUUUCGGAUGGGAACUCACAGGAGACUGCCCGUGGAAAGCGGGAGGAAGGUGGGGAUGACGUCAAGUCAUCAUGCCCCUUACGUCCUGGGCUACACACAUGCUACAAUGGUCGGUACAAAGGGUAGCUAAACCGCAGGUGGUGCCAAUCUCAGAAAACCGGCCUAAGUUCGGAUUGUAGUCUGCAACUCGACUACAUGAAGCAGGAAUUGCUAGUAAACGUGUAUCAGCUACGUCACGUUGAAUACGUUCCCGGGCCUUGUACACACCGCCCGUCACACCAUGAGAGUUGGAGGCACCCGAAGCCAGCGUGCUAACCGCAAGGAAGCAGCUGUCGAAGGUGAAAUCAGCGAUUGGGGUGAAGUCGUAACAAGGUA